rnacentral:snRNA from 1 species
GUGCUCACUUCAGCAGCACAGAUACUAAAGUUGGAACAGUACAGAGAUUAGCAUGGCCCUGCAUAAAGAUGACACACAAAUUUGUGAAGUGCUCCAUAUUUUU